CAAUGUGCCACUCUGUGUUGAUGUCUCUAGAAUUUGUUGAUAUCUCCACGCCUGAGAACUUAAUUCUCGAGACAUUUAGGUCACCCUAGAUCAGGCUCCUGGCCAGUGAUGCCAAUGGAAAGGGGUUGAUAUAGACAUAGCAUAGGCAAAAGGAGAAUUAGGUCAAAUGUACUCAACCCUUAGGUGGUUUGCUUAUGGAGACAGCGGGGAGAAGUGUGUGUAUGUGCCUGUGUGUUGCAGAGAUUAAGACAGAUUUGCGAAGUCUCUGUGACAUCUGGAGGAACUCUUUCUAUUACAGCCCAUUAAUCAUAAAGCAGUUUUGAGGACUUCUCCCUCUAAUGAAUAAUGCAUCCCUGUGAUGAUGGAGGGUAAUCCAUUUAGCCAACAUGGUGACUGGAGCCUCAAGACACAGAAUCUUUCAAUGUGUCAACAAGCCAGCCCCAGAUUUACAAUGUGAGGAUGAUUUCCUGGUGACUAAAAAUGAGGAAGGACAAAGUACAGACAAAAUCCUGGGAUGACAGAGCUCAUCCCAGCUUGAUGAGUGCAUUUGCCCAGGUUGCCACUAUCAGAACACUGUCUUAAAGGGAAAUGUACUGAAUGUAACACAAAUAGGUAUGAAAGUGAGCCCAACUCCAGUGUGUUUCAUUGGCCACAUUGCAACUAUUACAGCUGAGCCAGCUGCUCUGUCAGAGCUUCCUGUUUCACACAUAGAAACAUGUGUAUUUAAAUCCCAGAGGUGGCUCCAUGCUGUAAAUAAAAGCUUUGUGAAGGGGCAAUUUUCAAAGAAAAUAGGAGAGGGAUACUUAAGUCUCCCUCAUCUCCCCUAAUGCGGGGAGGGGGACAAGGGAGGAGAAGGUCUCCACGCUUGCAGAAUUUGAAAUUCCAAUAUGAUCUGACCUGAUUUGCAUGUCCUGGACUAAUCUGGGGGUCACAGUUUGCUUAUUUUUCUGACUUUUGCACUUCCUGAAUCUCCUGAUUUAGUUCUUGGCUCAAAAAUGCAUCAACAUACAUUUUAAAAAUGCAUACUUUGAAAAACAAUGUUUUUGAGAUAACAUUUUGAGGGAAAAUAUUUUAAGGUUACACAUCUGAACAUGUUUCUAGCAGUGAAUUCUUGGGCAGAUUUUUUAGUGUUUUUAUUUAAUUGCAGAUCAAUGUGGAAACAGGACCAAUUUAUGAGUGAACACAGGCAAAAGGGACACGAACUGGAAAGAGACAGAUUCUUUCAGACCACAAAUUUUACCCGUGAUUCCACAGUGUUAGCCAUGUUAACACAUUGCAGCAAAAACAACAAGGGUCGUGAGGUACCUAAAAGAGCAAUAGAUUAGUGUAGUCAUAAUGUGGGUUUUUUCUUAGACUUUAAGCUAAAAGAUUAGUCAUUCCCAGUUCUUGCUGAAUAACUACAGUGACCCAAACUAUGCAGGAUUAGCAGUUGAAGCAACUGAGUUACUGGCACAAAGGUUGGAACCCCAGCAUAUUUUAAUUUCACAAUAUGAGCUCUGCACUUCAGUGACAACUUCCAGGAGGUAAUGGAAUGCUUCUGUGACUAUGGGCACCUGAUCAUUCAGAGGCAGCGCAACCAGCACUGUGUAAUCCCUCCAAUUUCCCCAUGUCUCCCAUUCCUUGUACGUUAUCUACGCAGCUUUGUGUAUUAAGACUGGUGGGUUGCAAAUAAUCAAGCAAAAGUGGUAGUUAUAGGGGAAACACCAAGGUAACACCAAUCUGGUGCAUUCCAAAUGUUUUGGACCACAGCACUUAUGAGCCCCAGCAAGCAUGACCAAUAACCAAGGCUGAUGGGAGUUUUAAUCUAACACCACAUUGAAUAACACUGGCAGAGAUGCUAAAAAUACUUUAGUUGAUAGCCACCACACCUUGUCCCUGGAGCAGCAUUUCACACUAGUUUUUCAAAUACUGCACUCUGUACCAUAACAGAGCACCAUUUUCAAAGCAAGUCCAAGUUCAAUGUUGCUGUUAAGUAGUUGGCACCGGGGCAAGGGAUAGAGCUAUGAGGAGGAAGCAGCAGUAACAUGUUUUGGCUUUCACAGCAGAGAUGGCAGAUAGUCGAGCUUUUUCCCACAUGGAUAAUUUCUUAAUUAUCUGUAUGGAUUUUCUGUCUAUAUUUGUUACUGCCACAGCUACAGCUCAUUAGUAGCCAUUUAGCUACAGACCGACUUGCUAUUAUGGGAUAUUUUGGCAAUCUUAAGAAAAUUACUUUCAUUUGAUUUUGGUUUAUGUUAAAAAGCAUUGAACCAUGAAUGAUUUUGAAUUAUUUACAAAUUAUAAAAUGUCAAGAGUUCAUUUGAAUGGAUGUGAAUAGAGGGCUGAUUUGAACAACCAUUUGGGAGGCCCAUUUCUCAACCUGCAGAGACUUAUUUAUCUGCAGAGGCUAAUAACAUCUCUUGGGACAAGUGUUUUUCAAACUGUUUUCUGAACUGUGUAGUAAAUUAGGUGAAUCUCAAGCCAACCAGAUCAGGAGACAAAACCUUGUUGCAUUUAAAUAUGCAUAUUAGAGAGAGACAUAUGGCCAGGAACAUAGAGAUAAUUUUCUUUUCUGUGUUUUCCAGAGAUUUGAAAGUUUUGAUAUACAGUAUACAUGCAUGAAGUAUGUUACAGAUAAUCUUCAGUCUAAUUUCUCAGCCACGCCUAACACUCGUCAUCUCAAUCAUCGAGCCAUAAAAACUACUGGCCCAGAUAAAAAUACUCCUGUUUCUGAAACCUGUCUAUAAAAAAGAAAAAGAAACCUCACUAAACAUCUUGGCUUAAAAAACAAACAAACCAUUUCCUUUUAAUUUUAUUAUGUUGACAUGCCAGUAUGAAGUAUGUACACACUCUAUUAGUCCUUCUGGGCAGAAUAUAGAACAUAGGAACAUGUAACACCUUUUUAAAACACUCUUGAAUGUUCUUCUCAUUCCCAGCAAACUUUAUGUCCUUUAAUUCACCCUAGUAAUUUCCCAGAUGGAGUGACCUUUAUCUUUUACCUUCUUUAUAACACUCAAGAAAUGAAAUAGCUCCCACAGCCUGUGCCAAUAAUUAUACAUAACCAGCUAUGGCUUAAGAUUGUGUAGCCUUUGUAUGCGAAACCCAAAUAUGUUUGCCAAAUUAAAAGUGCUAUGAACAAACUUGAAAGAACUGAUUUCCAUUACCGUACCUUAGCCUUUUUCAACUGAGUCAUCAUGAGGCAAUGCUGACCUUGGACUCCAAAGGUAUCUUGGAACAUUAGUGGCUACUCACUCAGUGGAAAAAACAAACCUGUUUUGUGCAUGGUAAAGAGAUCCAUCAAGCUAGGAGGUUGUUUCCCAUUCUUCGCAGACACCAUUCCCUUAUUAGUAUUCCAAUGUUUAAUUGAACUAUCGAAUGAAUUAAUUUUUUAUAUCUUAAAAUGCUUUCCCUAAUUUAUCAGCCAACUUAUUUCCCCCCCAAAAGUCCACUCUUCAGGAGUUACUUCACUUCACAACUUACCUGAGGGAAUGGUCUGCUUUAUCACCUCAUAAUUCACCUGAGGUAAUAGCCUAUUUUAUCAACUCAGAACUCAGAGGAGGAAUGGUCUACACAUGGAAAAGUUGGCAUGCUGGAAGAUGUAUAAGUUCAGUCUUCUCCCUGAUAUUCAUUAACCUGUUAUUGAUUUGUUCAUUUUAUUUAUAUCCCUCCUUUCUCCCAGUACAAGGGGCCAAGCAUGAAUUAAAACCAAUACAGCUAAAACACACAGAAUCAAUAUAAAUAUUUGUUUAAAGCAGUUAAAUAAGUAACUCUAUUAAAGACAACACUGAAAACACUUAAAAUUGGGAGGGGGUAUAAAAAUGUGGUGUUAGCCUUCUGCAUGCAAAGAGCUUUUGAGAUGAGGGGUGCCUUCACAUAACCCCAUGUACACUGUUAAGGUUGAACAAGCCUCCCAGAGGGCUAUUCUUCCUGCACUAGCUUCUUGAAGCUGGCUUUCUCCAUGACUUGGUUCCCACCAAAUGUGUCUUCCUAAAAGCCCACAGCAAAUACCAAUAGGCAAAUGGGAGCUGGUAGGACUCCUGCUGGCAGCAGGACCCAUUUUUUUUACAGGUUGCUUUCUCUUCUUCUUUUCUCUCAGCCAGUAAACAGACAAUGGCAGUGCUUGUUUCUUCGCAUGCAGCUCUGGCCCAAAUCCAGACCCAUGCUGGCAGGAUCAAUGGAGGGCUAGCAUUGUACCAUUCUGUUACACACACCACUCGUCUUGUCAUCCUUUUGGGGGGCAGCGACUCGGAUGUAACCUCAUUUCAGGCUGGCAGCUGGUGGGACGGGCUGGGCAGAAAAACUCACUUAGAGCCACCACAUCGUAAACCCAGACAUAGGCCAAAGACAAGAAGCUGUUAAUAAAUAAACCCAAACAAAACCGCCACAUAAUUAACUGAAUGCUGCCAGUUGAAGAUGGCUUGUUUGGCUUCUUUCUGGGUGCACACGUUGGCACAGUCGCCUCAGCCAUUUGCUAAUUAGGGAUGCCAGAGAACACCAAAUUACGAGUGUGCUGGCCAUUUCCUGACCUUCACCUCCCAUCCUCUCCAAGCGCACCUCUUGAAGAGGUAUAUAGUGCCUGUUCUCACACUAACUGCACUGAACAAAGCAAAUCCAUUUGCUUCCCUCACGAUGACUACUGCAACCAACACAUCGACGGCGCUUCCAUCUGCUUACAUCCAUCUGCACGCCGCUGUGCCUGACACCCCAAGCCUCUGAUGCUUUUGAAUAGCUACUGAUUCUCUUCUGCAAGGUGUUUUUUUGUAUUCCCCCAGUCUAACAGAAAGGGUUUCUUUCUUUCCACUCCUUCCCCAUCUAUGAGGCCUGUGAGAACUUUGAGAAGAAUGUCCACUGAUAAGCCAGCCACAGCCUCCCUUUUCCCCCUCCCCCUGCAGAAAGAAAGAACCCUCAUAUGUUUGUAUGGGGUUAUCAAGUCGGGAGACCUCCCUUCAGCUACAAGGCCCAGCCUCCUAGCUCACGGCAAGCUCUGAAGGGCACUUGCUUCCUUUGUUCCGUCUGCCUACCCCACCCUUGUGGCUGCUGCGAUGUUGGGGAUCCUAGUGUCCCCAUCCCCCUGCUUUUCCCUGUGGGUGCCUCUGCACAAUGAAGAACUCCAGUGCUCUUUCUGUGCAGCUGCUUUCCCAAGCAACAGCAUACUUAAAACUGACCUAAUUUCUGCCAGUUUUACCGCUGCCUGGAGGGUUCCAAGUAGCACCAGUGAAAACAAGCAAUGAGAGCAGUGAUCAGUUUUCACUCAAUCCAGCACUAUAUACACACACAUAUAUAUCUCUAAACUUUCACUUAAUAUUUGACGGCUUUUUAAAAAACCAGCAAGAUAAAUUAAUCUCUGCCUUUUGAAUGCAGGUUGGGGUGGUUUUUUUGGCAUUCUGAAGGAACGGCUUAUGAUUCUCAUAUUAUUCCAAACCUUGAUAACUUAUUUUGUGUUUUCCUUUAUACUCGGCACAAGACUUCUAGAUGCCCAAAGUUCCCAUCAAGCAUGAUUACCUAUGCACGGGAGCAACAUGCAAUCAUCCAUCCCCAACUGGUUGGAUGAUUGAGCCACUCAACCCUUCCUCCAAUACCCACAUGUAUACUGCAGGUGUCUGCAACCUCCUGCAAUGGGGCUUGAACCCACAGACCUUGAGAUUAAGAUUCUCAUGCUCUGUCGCUGAGCUAUCCUGAGUUCCUGUAUCCAAUCGUACAGUGGAAUACAUAAAUACUUCCAUAGAAUCUGGAGCUCCUGACUGUUUAGCGUUCCAGAUUCUUUGGAAGUCUUCAUGAGGAUAAAUGUAUAAAUGUAUAAAUGUAUACACAGCACAUCCCCACUCCUCUACAUAGUGACAAGGCUGCUAAUCACAUCCGAAGAGGCCACCUAAGCAGUAUAACUAUAUACUUGUCUCCUCCUCAUGUCCCUCCAUACAGCCCAAACAGAGAUCUCUGCCUUUUGUGAUAUAAAACUUUGGCUGAACUUUGGACAGAAUAUAAAGCAAAUUGAAUUUUGCAGUGUGUGCAACAUGGUAUUUGAACGUGCCUUUGCAUUUGCCAAUCUAAUCAAUUCCACUCACCAAAGUGUUUAUAUUAACCUGCCAGUACCAAGCUAAAAGUAAACGAGAGCCAGAAUUUGUGCAGGCACACAAUGGAUCUAUAGUUUCAAUAGCUGCCACAGAUGAGGGAAUAUUGGGAGGUGACAAAUUUAUCAAUCUGAGCUUUGUCAACCAUUAUUUUUUUGCCAGAACCAAUCAACAUCAAAAAAUAGAAUCCAUACAAGGGCAUAUGCACAUUUUAAAUGAUCAAAUGCAUGAAUAUAUUAAAAAUCCUAUCCAUGUCCUUAUGAAUACUUGGCAGCUAAUCAUACUAUACCUGCUAUUGUCCAGCCCAAAGAGUUACAACUUUCUCUUCUUACCGAAAUGUGAAUCAUUUAAAGUGUGGCAGGAUUCUGGUCAGGGUGUACUCCAGCCCUCUCCUGCAUUAACCCUUCAGUGCCCUGCAGUGCAACCAUUUACACAACUGGGAUGACGCAUACAUUUUCCCUCCUGCUCUUCAUUCACUUCCAUUAAAAAGUUACAGUUCCUUAUUUUUUGAGAACUGCUAUCAAUACUGGUGCAACAUUUCAAAUAUACAAGUCUUAAAUAACUGCAGUUCCUAUUUUCAUACUGGUUAUCAUUUUGUCCUUAAUAGGAUACCAUACAUUCAGUUCCAGUGAAAAAACAUACUAAAAAGUUUGCCAACCAGAAUAGACACAUGUUGAUGACAGCAAAUGGUUCAGUUUCCUCUUGCCAGUCCCAUUCUUUGAUCCUUAGGACGCAGCUCCCUUAGACCUGCAGAUCCAUCAAAUAAAAAGCAUCCACAAUAAAUAGUGAAGGCCUAUUUUUCUUUUUAAGUGGGUGCUGUCCUCCAUAAAAGUUUGAGGGGGGAAUUGAAAUAUCUGUAAUUUGAUCCACCUUUGUUAAAUUUGAACCAGAUACACUGACACAAAGUAGAACCACAUUAAAAUUUACAGACCUUCCAAAGGGCAGGUAUCCAUUGUAGCAGGAAUUAAAAUGUUUCCAUCAUCCACCCUCCCCAGUAUAAAGUGUUUAAAUGAAGUGUUUCCCACAAAACUUUGAGUUUUUAAAAACUAAACAAAUCUGUUCCAAACUCAAAACCCAAAUAAAAUUGGAUUCUACAGCUAGAAUAAAUUGUGCAGUUCUUCAGGUCCAUCCAUAUCUGGGCUUACUUAUAACUUAUUUUGCUUCUUCUAGUCAUGGCAACCAAAGCCUUAUUUCUUGAUCCAUCAUAAACCUCUGGAAGGAGGCGAUGGCCCAAGAGACAGGGAGAUAGAGAUGCAGAACUAUGGUUCCACAGCCAGUUUGAUGGUGCUGCAAAUUCCAGACCCCAGACAGUGUUAGAGCUGCUGGUUCAGAGUUCAGUGGCUAAAGUGUAAGAACAUGAGCAGAAAUCCUGCAGUUGAGGCAGAAAGAAAAAGUUGCUGCAGCACUAGCCUGCAGUAACUGCCAAGGCUUUAGUCUAGAACAGGGUUUCUCAAACUUGGGCCUCUACCUGUUGUUGGACUACAACCUCCAUCAUGCCUAGCUAGCAGGACCAGUGGUCAGUGAUGAUGGGAAUUGUAGUUCAAAAACAGCUGGAGACUCAAGUUUGGGAAACUCUGGUCUUGAGUCUAAAUACUGAGGCCUGAUUCUCAGAGGACAUCAAGGCCAAGUUUUUUAGUCGAAAGGCAGAGAUACCUCCUGAGCUCCAGGUGAGAGCUCUGGUGCUGGUGAGUCUAUGCAAGAAGAGUCAAGCAAUGGAUUCAUAUUCUUUGAGUUACUGUCACUUGAGGACUUAACCCCCUAACUCAUGGAAAUCCUACUGAGAUCCCUCUCUUUGGAAAUAUUGCUAGCCAUUUCUUAAAUGUUUUAUAUAAUAUUAUCACAGUAGUAAGACCUUGAAACAUUCUUUUAAAAAACCUUUGAUUAUUAUGACAAUGAAUUAUGCAGCUAAUGUCAGCCACCAAAGCCAAUAAUCACUUUUUGUGCCAUUUAAAAAGUUUUCAGCAGCAAGAUAAUAGCUAAAACAAUAAUAAAAAGAUAGCUAAAAUAAACAGGAACAAACCAAGUCAAAUUUAAACCCACCAGCUCGCUAAUCAGUGUGUUUCAUUUGGUAGAUUUGAUUCACAAAAAUCUUCAACUCAAAUACCACAAAAUGGAAAGGUUUGGCAGAAACUAAGAAAAAAAAAGGAUAAAAUAUUGUGUAUGUUUUCAAUCAAAAGGUGCAGUAAGAACCAGAAAUAUAAUGUGGGGAGGGAAAACAUUUAUAGUGCUGGGGGACCUCUGCAUUAUCAGAUGGGGAAUUCAUGUGUAAUACACCCAUCCCUGGGCACUAGGUAUUUAUUAACAAUGAAUGAAAAAUGUUCUGCCUCCAGCUGAAUUCACAUGAACAAAAGCAAACAAAGGGCGAGAUGCUUUAACGCACCAGUACACUUGAGCCAGGGAUUCUGGCAGCAAAGCCCAGGACACUUUUACCCCCUGCGCCACUGGGACAAUUCUCAGGCUGAGAGAACGACUGCCCUGACGUCUGCGGUGCUGCAGACCCAUCCAUGUAAUGCCCACAGAAGGCAGCUCAUCAGCUUAACUAGAUCAAGUGAGUUGAGAACCAAUAGGGUCUGGCUGAGGGUUUUUUUUUACUGCAGCUCUGUGCUUGGUUCUUUAGUCUGAUCAAUUUGUCUGUCAUGAGCCCCAUGGAGACAUCUUGGCAGGGCUGGUCCAAGCGGGAGGAGGAAGAAAGGGGAGGGGCCUUGUGGCCUAGUGAUCUAGAUGCUGAGGAAGGGGCAAGUAGGCUGUCAGGGGAGAGGCCUACCUCUUUGACAGUGGAUCCCCUGGCUGCCACAGUAGAGGAGCAACCUGACUUGCCUCGGCCACUGCCACCUGUCAGUGAAGUGUUUCCUGCUCCUGGGAAAGGCCCUGAGUGUAGAAUGACAGUAAGCUGGUGUGUAAGCCCACCCACAUCACCCAAGAAGCAGCCACAGCUAGCAGACCCAGCAGACCGCCUACCUGUAGGAGUGCCCACUUGCUUGCCUGAUCCCAAAGCUUAGGGAAAUGACUACAUGAAUGGACGUGCCCGCCCCACUCUUCCAAAGGUCAACCUGGGGGGCAUGCCAGGUGUUGGACCAUGUCUUAGCCUAGCCAUGUACCUUAGAGCUCUGCUAUGACUUCUGAACUGUGUAACCUGAUAUAUAUUUGGACACUGUAGUGAAAUCUGGAAUAAAGCCUUAUAUGAUUACCAAGUCUGAGUAAUGAGUCCACAAAUGGUAGCCAAGAUGCUGCCCUUGGGAGAAGCUCCUAAACAAAUCACUUCAUCUCCCUGCUCCAGAACAUGACCACCAGGGCCAUCUCAGACCAUAUCAUCUGCUUCUCAUCUUGCUGGGCUGUAACAGGCACUUCUUGAGGGUUGCCUUAUUAUGCUUUAUGUAAAAGAAGGCAUUCCCCACUUUCUCCCAGGUAAGAAUAUCAUAUUGGGCAAAGUUACUUGGACUUCCUUGAGAGGAUGCAACUAUUCUUUCUGCCUGAAGCAGAUGUGGAGAGGGCACUAACACCAGUCAUGCUUACAUGAGGAAAUCGCUCAGCUACAGGAAUAUUUGUUAUAGGAGUGCCUAGGCUUCCUUAAUGGGAAAAGCAGACACUGCUGGUGUGAACACAACCAGUGUGAAGGGGUCCUAAAACAUUAACUUCUGUGUAGCACACAUACACAUGCAUGCACACAUACAAGCCCUGUUAUGAAUAUGUCUAUUUCAUUUUCUGUUCUUUGGCACCAGUACAGCAACAAUUAUCCAGACAAACCUUCUCAUAUGUCUGAAUAAUUUUGUUCUGAAAUACAACGCUUAUAGGGCCUUAUCGCUGUCAGCUAGAAAGGUGAUGACUUGCUAGAAUCCACAUUAGUAUUUAGUCUCUUCCAGCUGUUGCAGCUGGUGAGUGAUGUGUCCUUAAGUCUUCCAAGAGAGAAGACAGUCUCAUGAGAGAGAAGCGCAUCUCAUGGAUUAACCUAAGUGGAACUGCUCACUCUAGAUACUUCAGACAAUAGCGUAUUGGAAUUUUUUUAUUAGCAUUAUUAAACAAGCUCUUUCCAGUCUACAUUAUGGCAGAAACUUAAGCAGGAAUACUCCGAACAGUGCAAAAAUAAAGAAUUUAGCAGAUCCAUAUUCAUAUAGAUGGUUUUGCUCCCAACAAUUGUACUUCAGAUUCUUCCCAACAGAACGCUUCUAGUAUGUAUUUCAAAUAAAUAAAUCCACUCGAGAGGAAGAUGAAUUUAAAUAUUUUUGGAAUGACAGAUUAUAUAUUAUUAUAUUAGAUCAACUGAACCAUUUAAUCUAAAAGAGGGAAGGCUGAGUAGAUGUCGCCAGAUAAGAUUAGACUACUGACUUCACACAGUGCUGAUUGUCAAAGCUAUAUAUUUGAUCAGACAAAUCAGUUUGUAAUAUAUCAUCCUUCUUAAAAAUGAAAAGCCACAACCAACAAAAGGGAGGGAGGUAUGAAUGUUGAGGGUGGGGUGUGGGAGCCACAGUAGCAGUUAUGAAAUUAAGACUGAUUGACUCAGAAUACUUUACCAGCCAACCAGUAACAAUGCCGUAUUUGGCCUCUUUCAGAAUGCCUCACCAAUUUUCAGUGUUUGCUUUUGCAUCUUAACAUUCUCUAGUAGUGCAGUUCUGGUACUUGGAACAAACUUCAGAAACUGUUUUAAAGAGCAAAGUCCAGAUGUUACAGAUACAGUACAUGGUGUUUCUGCUUAUGCAAAGCACUUGUGCAUGACGCAAACUGCCAUUCGAACUGUGUGUCAGAAUAAGAUGGGAGGGGAAGGAGAGAAAGUAUGACAACACUGGAUAUGGCUCUCUUGUUAUAUUUCCCACUUCCCCAAAAAUCUGUAACAAAAUUUUGGGAGCAGAUGAGAAGACAGUACAAUACAAUUGUGUUUGUUUAGUCCCACCUCUGCCCACAGUAUUCAUUCUGAGGCAAUGAACCUCUUCUAAUUAAUAUGAAUACCUUGUUCUUCAGGACUGGUGACAAGGAAUAGGCAAUAGGCAGUUGCAUGGGAUGGUACUCCAACUUCUUGUUGAAGAAGAGUCCCAUCCUACCUACCUACCUACCUACCUACCUACCUACACACACACACCAUUUCUAUUCAUAGCUGCCUGGGUCAGCAAGGCACAGUGCAAUCGCUGUGCGCAUGUUUAGAAUACGAUCCUGGGCAAAUUGACUCACGAGCGAUCCUCCUUCGCCUGCUCCCACCCAAAGGUAGCCCCUGGAAUAAUCCAACAGCACUGAUAAUAAUGGCAACUCCAACUGUAAAGGUUAAGUAGCCAAUAAUUUGUUACAUAAGUCAAUGAUUCAGUAGUUCCCAGAGGGAGAACAAUGAUGAGAUAACAAAGACACAGAAUUCCUCAUCCGCCUUCAGUCCCUUGCGGUCCAUGUUGAACCAUUUCCUCUUUACUAUUGUUUGCAAGAGAGAUUAAUAGGGGUUCAGCCUCCCCCUGGUUUUACAUGGGGAUGUUGCCUUUCUUUGGUCUUCAGUGCACCUGUUAUGCAUAUGAGCAAAUCACAGGUUGGAGUGGGAUGUGGGAUUGCUGUCCCUGCCUAAGCCAAUGGAGGUUUUCCUAUUCAAUGCAAUGAAAGUUGAAUCAUAUCCUCAAAGAAAAGGAACUGAGCAAACACCACCGUAAUCUGAGCUAAACUGGCUCAGAGCCCAAGGUCAAAUACACUGUCAAAACUGAGAAACAGCUAAUCCUAACAUGAACAGGAAGCAUCCUGAUAAGAUUUGUGAUAAGGAACUCUUUUAUGGCUCUAAGGACUUUUCUGCACCUCCCAAGCCUCUUCCACAGGUUGAAAAGAAAUAUCACAAUGCAGGGCUAUUGUAAGGCAGCAUUUGAAGGCAAACCUCUACUCAGAAACGAUACCAGGCUUCUGUCUAGACCCUCAGCUGUGAUGCUAGCCCCACUUGUGAGGUCAAUGUGGUCUCUCUGGGAAACCUAAAAAGAUAUACAACCAUUCUGGUGAUAAGAAACUAGUUUGUAAGGUGCAGAAUACAGCUGAUGGUGACAGGCAGCUGACAGCAUGUGACAAAUUUGCGAAAACAUCUGCACCAACUGCCCAUACAUUACCAGGUUAAGUUCAAGGUUCUUGCAUCAAUAUACAAAGCCCUGAGCAACUUGGGUCCAGAAAAGAAUUGCCUGAGCCAUUAUAUCCCAGCUUGACCACUGAGAGCAUCCAGAAGAGUACAGUUAGUUAUUCUCCUUGUUACAGAAUCAUUUAACUGGACAGAAUUCAGGCAUUUAAUGCAGCUGGUUCUGUGCUAUGGAUUACUCUUCCAGCAGAGAUUCAGAAUAUAUUCUUGCUAUUAACCUUUGGGUGUCUCUUGAAGACUUUAUGUUGAGAGGCCUGCUAUGUUAACUCAUUGCCAGUUGGGAACUAUAUUCAGUAGAUGAUUGACACACUCUGCUGCAAUUCAUUCCAGAUUCUGUACAUACCAGUUGUUGAAACCAUCCUAUCAAACGCAAAUACAGUGGUACACUUCAGGUUACAUACGCUUCAGGUUACAGACUCCGCUAACCCAGAAAUAUUACCUCAGGUUAAGAACUUUGCUUCAGGAUGAGAACAGAAAUCGUGCUCCGACGGCAUGGCGGCAGCAGGAGGCCCCAUUAGUUAAAGUGGUGCUUCAGGUUAAGAACUGUUUCAGGUUAAGAACAGACCUCCAGAACGAAUUAAGUUCUUAACCCGAGGUACCACUGCACUACAUGGGAAGUCAAAGGUUUUUGUCCUUGCUUUUUAUUUAUCUAUCUCCUGCUUUGCUUCCAUUGAGCCAAAAGAACUAUAGGUAACAUCCCCAAGUAGCUUCCCAUCCAAGCAUUGACCAGACCCAGACCUGCCUGGAUAGCUCAACUGGUUAAAGCAUGGUGCUGAUAAUGCCAAGGUUGCAGGUUCAAUCCCCAUGUGGGACAGCUGCUUUCAAAGUUGGAAGGGACCCUGCGGAUUAGCUCAUCCUAGAAAAUCCUCAGGGUUCUUUCCAACUCUGAAAUUCUAUGGUUCUAUGGUUCUUUGAAGCUUUUUCUACAUGGCUGCAUGAGUUGGCAACAUGAGCAAAUGGUGCUACUGCCUUUCCUCAUGAGGGAAUAGUGCAGGCUUGUUAUAGCUAUCUUUGCAGAGAGUGAUGAGAAAAAGCAGAGCCCACAUGCAUAAACAGCACAGGGAUUUGCAUAGUGUACGGUUCCCAAGUCAAUAACAGCACAAUGUGCUGGGGAUGUGGCUGGCUGAGAAAUGUUUCAUCUGUGUGCAAUCCCUGCUAAUUGCAUAACCACAAUACUUUAUUAUGUAGCUGUAAUAGCAAUAAAUGGGAUAGGAUGUGGUUUCAUAAUACGCUACUGGAACAAACUGUUUAAAAUAGUGUCAGGUUCAUCUUGUAAAUGAUUUCCUGCAUGCUAUUUGGAUAAGUUUUCUAAGUUUGCUAUGUCAUGAAGUUAAAACCUAAUAAGUAAUAUAUUAAUGAUCAUUUGGGGUGGGGGUGGGGAGACAGGUUUACAUGUUUUUGGUGGAGUAAGUAAUAUAAACGGUUUCAAUUUCUGCAUUAAUGCCAAUGAACUUUGUCCCUCACUUCAGCCAAGAAACAAUUUAUUUUUUCCUAUAAAAUCUUCAGCAGCCCAAAUCCAGCUAUGAUUCCAAGAGGAUCAUCUAACCAAGGAAAAGGUACGGCUUCCAUUAAAUCCCUGCUUGAUUUAGUGACAAUUCUUCUUGGAAACAAGAGGGGACUUUCCUACGAUCCAGUGAGUCAUGGUGAAAUGAAGAGAACAGGGAUUGCAAGAUUCUGGAAUCCUUCUCAAAACCACAGAGUAGUUUUUCCAGGAAAUGUUUACAGACUGGAAAAGAGGAAGUUUUUAUUUUUAUUGCCUUUCUCCUUUAUUAAAUGGCACGCUUAAUAA